rnacentral:rRNA from 1 species
CGGAUCUCUAGGUUCUCGCAUCGAUGAAGAACGCAGCGAAAUGCGAUAAGUAGUGUGAAUUGCAGAUUUCAGUGAAUCAUCGAAUCUUUGAACGCACAUUGCGCCCUUUGGUAACCCUUGGGCAUGCCUGUUUGAGAGUCAAACUCUGGCCGUCACCCUCUAAGCUGAGAUGACGAGUUUGGGAAAAGAGGUUAAGUCCUCUUCCUAUAAGUGAUGGGCGAUACAUUUUCACCUUGUAGGACGUAGUAAUGCAAUUCUCGUUGAAGCAAGUUGAAGAAGCUGCCUAUUAAACAAAUUUAUAAGCUCUCAUUGACCUCACAUCAGGUAGGGAUACCCCCUGAACUUAAGCAUAUCAAUAAGGGGAGGAAAAGAAACCAACAGGGAUUGCCUUAGUAACGGCGAGUGAAGCGGCAAAAGCUCAAAUUUGAAAUCGGAAAGUCUUGCGACCUCCGAGUUGUAGUUUGUAGAGGUGACUUUGGGUAUACGGCCAGGUCUAUGUUCCUUGGAACAGGACGUCAUGGAGGGUGAGAAUCCCGUAAAUGGCUUGGCUAGUGCCUAUGUAUAGCGCCUUCAACGAGUCGAGUUGUUUGGGAAUGCAGCUCUAAGCGGGUGGUAAAUUCCAUCUAAAGCUAAAUAUUGGCGAGAGACCGAUAGCGUACAAGUAGAGUGAUCGAAAGGUGAAAAGCACUCCGGAAGGAGAGUUAAACAGCACGUGAAAUUGUUGAAAGGGAAGCGCUUGAGACCAGACUCAGGUAAAGUUGAUCAACCUCCAUUCUUGGUGGUGCACUCUUCUUUGCCCGGGCCAGCAACAGUUUUGGCGGUGGUAUAAAGGUUUAGGAAAUGUGGCUCUCAUUUUGGGAGUGUUAUAGUCCUAUGCGUAAUGCUGCCUGCUGAGACUGAGGACCGCGCUCCGGCUAGG